CCUCAGCCUCCUGAGUAACUGAGAUUACAGGACAUAGAGAUGAUGCAGUCCUGCUCUCACAGCUGCUGGUGAGGUGAGAUGCUGGUGAUUCUGUGCACCUCGGGUCCCUGUCAGUUUCGUUCUCUGCCCUGCUUCACCGAGGCCAGUGGACUACACUGUCCAGGCUUUCUUCCCAGCCAGCUUUCAGAACUCCUUUGCUGUGGAUAAGAAGAUUGGCUAGGUCACUUGCUCCAAGUUCAAAGCCUGUUUUCAUAAAACAAUAACGACUUGCUUGUUUUUUGUUUUUUGAGACAGGGUCUUGCCUUUUUAG